rnacentral:rRNA from 1 species
GACGAACGCUGGCGGCGCGCUUAACACAUGCAAGUCGAACGGAAAGGCCUGCUUUCCCUUGUGGAUUGCGGGUACUCGAGUGGCGAACGGGUGAGUAACACGUGAGUGAUCUGCCCCCAACUUGGGUAUAAGCCUGGGAAACUGGGUCUAAUUCCCGAUAGGACUGCAGGGUGGUGCCUGUGGUGGAAAACGAUUUUCUAGUGGUUGGGGAUGAGCUCGCGGCCUAUCAGCUUGUUGGUGGGGUAAUGGCCUACCAAGGCGGCGACGGGUAGCCGGCCUGAGAGGGUGGACGGCCACAUUGGGACUGAGAUACGGCCCAGACUCCUACGGGAGGCAGCAGUGGGGAAUAUUGCACAAUGGGCGGAAGCCUGAUGCAGUGACGCCGCGUGGGGGAUGACGGCCUUCGGGUUGUAAACUCCUUUCGACCGCGAGGAAGCCACCUGGUUGGAAGGGUGGUGACGGUAGUGGUAGAAGAAGCACCGGCUAACUACGUG